CACAGAAUUAUAAACAAACUAGACUCACUCACUCAGAAUCAAAACACGAAUAACGAAGUUGGAGUUGCUGUGUGGAACUUCGUCGUCCCUUACGAACAAGCAAGGUGAAAUGAUGAAGCAAGGGAUUCGACGGCUGAUUCAGGCUGUGAGGCCUUUUGCAAGCCUUUGUCCACGAAACUCCAAGGAGACAACACCUGAAAUACCAAAGGGUGUAAAGCUAGAUAGACAAAGGGUUGGCAGUUUAUGCAUCAGCUUUGCAUUUGGCGUCGGAGUCGGAUUUGGCGCUGACAGCAUUGCCACAGGGGCUCACUGGAGCUCUGGCGUUGACCCAACUGACGGCAGGGACGACAACCAGCAAUAAACCAUAGUCCAAGGACUAACUCCCAUCUCUUAUAUAAUAAUAAUUAAAAAAUUCAGUUCUUAUGGGGAGUAAUGAUUCAUACACACCUUACUUUU